CGGCCCGCUCACCUGCCCUGCCGGCUCCGCCCCGCCGCAGGACGCGUGUGUGGGCUCCUGCUGCACCGCCUCCCGCCCAACCAGGCCUUGCUUCUGCAAUGUGUAGACUGCUGUGCCUGUACAGAUGGCUACUGAUCUCAGCAGGGAUCUCCACAGUAAUUCUCUUUGAUCUUAAUUCUGCUAAAAGGAGCUGAAAAUUGAAUUCCUAUUUAUCUACAGAACAAGGACAGCAUAUACAGUGGCAGUUCACACUUCUGGAUAUGAAACAGAAGUGUGCCCCUGUCCUAGCUAGAGGUAAGGACUGAUUCUCUACUUGUCAUUGCUGCUGAGACUAUCAGCACUAAUUAUGAUAGUGUUGACAGUUAUGAUUUAGAUGCAUAUUCACUGGGAACUUGA